rnacentral:ncRNA from 1 species
AUGAAUUCAAUGACGAGAAAAGUAAUUUUCGAUACUGUUCUACAGAGAGCCGGGGGAAGCUGAAAUCCGGUGAAUAGUACUUAAAUGAAGAUCCUCUCCGAGAAGUCAAACUGAAAACAUAAGUAGGUUUGAACGGGUGUCUACCGUUAAAAGGAACGCGUAUGAUUGUACGUGGCUAAGUGCUAUUGAAGAACGGACUUUUUUCAAUAGAAUUAGGGUGGUAUCGCGGUUAAACCCGUCCCUUAU